GGAAUCACACAUGGUCGUUUAUUCCCAUUAGCAACCCCAAACAAGCCAGUGGCUUUACCCCAACAGCAGAAAAGCCUAGGUUAUUUUUAAAUGUACUCAGUUUAACGUUUCAUAAUCCGUGAUUUCCCAACGACAAAAAGAAGCGAUGGCACAGCUGUGGAAGUUACAUGAGAACUCCGAGGGCUACCAAGUAGGGAAAGAGGCAACAGAGGGCAAUGCACACGCUCUAGACGAGUGGAAGGCCUGGGAUCCCCGUCUGAGGAGCCUACUUCCGCUUCUGUAACAGCGUUGCCUGUUUGCUUUGGGGAGAUCUCGAGAAAAUACAGAAGCUUUGUCAGAGCCUAAAGAGGAAGUCGAGAACUGUAAUGAGAUGACAGUUCACUCUCUGACCCCCACACAGCUUGUUUUUGAAGCAACUUGUUCCUGGACCCCCGGUCCAGCUUGUUUCAUGAAAGCUGAGAGGUGGAUGUCCUGUAUUUCUGCCACUGGCUUGCCCUUAACUUCACCUGUCACUUCAGCUCUCAACCCCGCCGUCAGAGGCAGUCCUGAGCCAUCUUUUGCGCAUCGUUCCUGCGACUUAAGAGCUGGUCUCCUGGACUCCCGAUGUCUGUGGCCACAUCUGUUUCCUUGCGAGGCGCCUCUCUGCCUCACGUGCUGCUGCGAUAUCUGUUCUCAACUUUCUUCCGCCAUCCACACAUCCACAGAGCGCUGAUCAUUCGAACCUUGAAGCCGGCUGAGCGCACCAAGUAUCUUUAUCUUCAGAAAAACAGAGGACAACUCACUCAAACCAGAGUGGCUCCGAUCGUCACCUCUCCCGAGGGUGUUAACGCUCUGAACAGAAGAUAGGAAGGAAGAGGACGGGAGCCUCGGGAAGAGAAUCGAGAGGGCUUCCCGCCGCCCAGACCUCGAACCGCGACUGUGCGCUUUCGCCUGUCCCUUGAGCAAUCACAUGUGUAUUUAUUUCCUGACUCAAAACAUAAUUCAUAAUCUAAUGAGGUCUUUCAGAUUAGCUUCUUUCGGUGGAUAUGAAAUUCUUGUAGGUAUACAAUUUAAAUGACAAGUACUAUGCCUUCCACGGCUGAAGGCCAAAUGGAGAGAACGCUUGGAAAAUCAGAGAAUCGAUGGAAAACUUUAAAACUCCCGGUGGCCGCGCUGACCAGUAAAACCGGACGGUCCGGAAAAGGGACGUGCCGGCAGCGCGAGCACCCGCAUUCUUCUGCCUUCAUCGCCUGCAGUAAAACUUUGCCGCAAAGGUCAGCCCCUCCUCCAUCGCCACUCGCGCGAGUCUUUUCUUCUCUAAGUGCUAAUAUUUUUAAGAAAAAAUGCAAUGAAGGUAUCUAUCUGCAAGAUAUCGCAGAUUUUCAUCAAUUUUCAUUUGUUGAAUAAAUAAAAGCAGAAUAUUGAAGAUUGA